rnacentral:rRNA from 1 species
AACGAACGCUGGCGGCAUGCCUAACACAUGCAAGUCGAACGAGACCUUCGGGUCUAGUGGCGCACGGGUGCGUAACGCGUGGGAACCUGCCCUUAGGUUCGGAAUAACUCCCCGAAAGGGGUGCUAAUACCGGAUAAUGUCUUCGGACCAAAGAUUUAUCGCCUUUGGAUGGGCCCGCGUUGGAUUAGCUAGUUGGUAGGGUAAAAGCCUACCAAGGCGACGAUCCAUAGCUGGUCUGAGAGGAUGAUCAGCCACACUGGGACUGAGACACGGCCCAGACUCCUACGGGAGGAAGCAGUGGGGAAUAUUGGACGAUGGGUGAAAGCCUGAUCCAGCAAUGCCGCGUGAGUGAUGAAGGCCUUAGGGUUGUAAAGCUCUUUUACCCGGGAUGAUAAUGACAGUACCGGGAGAAUAAGCUCCGGCUAACUCCGUG